CAACAAGCGAAAGGAGGUGGUCCAAUGUCUCAUUGUCAAAUGCCGCAAGCGGCAAGCUAUAUGAGCACGGCCUUCAUCGCAGGGGGCCAGCGCUUUUAAGCUGUCCGCGUGCAUUGCUAGACAAUGGAAGGGCCGCCCAUCGGGCGGCCCU
rnacentral:sRNA from 1 species